UACGGAAGGCAGCAGUGGGGAAUAUUGCACAAUGGGCGCAAGCCUGAUGCAGCCAUGCCGCGUGUAUGAAAAAGGCCUUCGGGUUGUAAAGUACUUUCAGUCGUGAGGAAGGUGUUAAGGUUAAUAACCUUAGCAAUUGACGUUAGCGACAGAAGAAGCACCGGCUAACUCCGUGCCAGCAGCCGCGGUAAUACGGAGGGUGCGAGCGUUAAUCGGAAUUACUGGGCGUAAAGGGCACGCAGGCGGUUAAUUAAGUUGGAUGUGAAAUCCCCGGGCUUAACCUGGGAAUGGCAUUCAAGACUGGUUAGCUAGAGUCUUGUAGAGGGGGUAGAAUUCCAUGUGUAGCGGUGAAAUGCGUAGAGAUGUGGAGGAAUACCGGUGGCGAAGGCGGCCCCUGGACAAGACUGACGCUCAUGUGCGAAAGCGUGGGGAGCGAAAC
rnacentral:rRNA from 1 species